rnacentral:rRNA from 1 species
ACGCUGGCGGCGUGCCUAAUACAUGCAAGUCGAGCGAACGGACGAGAAGCUUGCUUCUCUGAUGUUAGCGGCGGACGGGUGAGUAACACGUGGAUAACCUACCCAUAAGACUGGGAUAACUUCGGGAAACCGGGGCUAAUACCGGAUAAUAUUUUGAACCGCAUGGUUCAAAAGUGAAAGACGGUCUUGCUGUCACUUAUGGAUGGAUCCGCGCUGCAUUAGCUAGUUGGUAAGGUAACGGCUUACCAAGGCAACGAUGCAUAGCCGACCUGAGAGGGUGAUCGGCCACACUGGAACUGAGACACGGUCCAGACUCCUACGGGAGGCAGCAGUAGGGAAUCUUCCGCAAUGGGCGAAAGCCUGACGGAGCAACGCCGCGUGAGUGAUGAAGGUCUUCGGAUCGUAAAACUCUGUUAUUAGGGAAGAACAUAUGUGUAAGUAACUGUGCACAUCUUGACGGUACCUAAUCAGAAAGCCACGGCUAACUACGUGCCAGCAGCCGCGGUAAUACGUAGGUGGCAAGCGUUAUCCGGAAUUAUUGGGCGUAAAGCGCGCGUAGGCGGUUUUUUAAGUCUGAUGUGAAAGCCCACGGCUCAACCGUGGAGGGUCAUUGGAAACUGGAAAACUUGAGUGCAGAAGAGGAAAGUGGAAUUCCAUGUGUAGCGGUGAAAUGCGCAGAGAUAUGGAGGAACACCAGUGGCGAAGGCGACUUUCUGGUCUGUAACUGACGCUGAUGUGCGAAAGCGUGGGGAUCAAACAGGAUUAGAUACCCUGGUAGUCCACGCCGUAAACGAUGAGUGCUAAGUGUUAGGGGGUUUCCGCCCCUUAGUGCUGCAGCUAACGCAUUAAGCACUCCGCCUGGGGAGUACGACCGCAAGGUUGAAACUCAAAGGAAUUGACGGGGACCCGCACAAGCGGUGGAGCAUGUGGUUUAAUUCGAAGCAACGCGAAGAACCUUACCAAAUCUUGACAUCCUUUGACAACUCUAGAGAUAGAGCCUUCCCCUUCGGGGGACAAAGUGACAGGUGGUGCAUGGUUGUCGUCAGCUCGUGUCGUGAGAUGUUGGGUUAAGUCCCGCAACGAGCGCAACCCUUAAGCUUAGUUGCCAUCAUUAAGUUGGGCACUCUAAGUUGACUGCCGGUGACAAACCGGAGGAAGGUGGGGAUGACGUCAAAUCAUCAUGCCCCUUAUGAUUUGGGCUACACACGUGCUACAAUGGACAAUACAAAGGGCAGCGAAACCGCGAGGUCAAGCAAAUCCCAUAAAGUUGUUCUCAGUUCGGAUUGUAGUCUGCAACUCGACUACAUGAAGCUGGAAUCGCUAGUAAUCGUAGAUCAGCAUGCUACGGUGAAUACGUUCCCGGGUCU